rnacentral:rRNA from 1 species
AUGGCUCAGGAUGAACGCUGGCGGCGCGCCUAACACACGCAAGUCGAACGGUUAAAGCACCUUCGGGUGUGUAUAAAGUGGCGAACGGCUGAGUAACACGUGGGCAACCUGCCCCUCGCACCGGGACAGCCUCGGGAAACCGUGGUUAAUACCGGAUACGCCCCCUUGAGGACAUCCUCUCGGGGGGAAAGCCCCGGCGGCGAGGGAUGGGCCCGCGGCCUGUUAGCUAGUUGGUGAGGUAACGGCCCACCAAGGCAAUUAUGGGUAGCUGGGUUGAGAGACCGACCAGCCAGAUUGGGACUGAGACACGGCCCAGACUCCUACGGGAGGCAGCAGUGGGGAAUCUUGCACAAUGGGCGAAAGCCUGAUGCAGCGACGCCGCGUGCGGGACGAAGGCCUUCGGGUUGUAAACCGCUUUCAGCAGGGACGAGGCCGCGAGGUGACGGUACCUGCAGAAGAAGCCCCGGCUAACUACGUGCCAGCAGCCGC